ensembl:lncRNA
CUGUUCAAACAGACCAGAGCUGUUAGUCCACAUCCUGAGAAGUCCCUUCAGACGCUCCAACUGUACAGCACAGCAGCUGUAAAAUCUCUGGGUAAAGCAAUUGAACGUGGAUGGUGAAGGAUGCCUAGGAAGAAGAGAAGUGGAUUGUUUGCCAGGAUCCAUCAAAUGGUCAGUGACCGGACUGGGUGGUCCGGGGCGUGACGUCUGAGACUAAGACUAAGAAGAUGCAGAACCUGUAAUGUAUAUUGGUACUCACUCUUCACUGCUGACGCCCAUGAGACCUGGAACAGACAAGAGGAAGAAAACAGACCAGAAAAGACAUCAGACAGUCCAUCUUAAAUGUUUUAUCGUAAGGGCUCAUCCACUUUUUUUCUUGAUGCAUGGAACAUUUAAAAUCAUCUGUAUAAUGCUGGUCCAGCACAGUGAAGACCAGAACACUGAAGAAAUAAGACCACACACAUUUACUAGCAUCUUGGUUAGUCUUAUAAGCAAAAUGAUAAACAUAAUGAACAAAUCAUUGCAUUAAGUUUAUAAACCUAUUUGCUGCACUUUUGCAUUAAAGCAGGAUAAAUAAUAAAAAAAAAAAAAAAAAAUCA